ensembl:lncRNA
AGACAGACGGGUGGAAAGAUAGACGAGUAAGUAGGUAGCUAGUUAGCUAGCUAGCCUAGAUAGAUAGAUAGAUAGAUAGAUAGGUAGACAAGUAAGUAUGUAGCUAGACAGAUCAAUAGACAGACACACUGAUAUAGAUAGAUAGAUAGAUAGAUAGAUAGAUAGACGGGUGAACAGAUAGACGAGUAAGUAGGUAGCUAGUUAGCUAGCUAGCUAGCCUAGAUAGAUAGAUAGAUAGAUAGAUAGAUAGAUAGAUAGAUAGAUAGAUGGAUGGAUGGAUGAUAGAUAGAUAGAUAGGUAGAUAGAUAGAUGGAU